AGAAUGAAAGUCAAAAGAGAGUACGUCAUCUUUUUGAGAAUUUUAUUCACUUCAAAACAAAUUAAACACACCUAUUUCCAAUGGCAUUCCAGAGCCCAAUUUUCGAGGCUGAGGAAACACCCCAAGAACGCUUUGCGCAGAACGCUUCACAGCGUCCAAAACACUGCUGUCAGGGCGGGGCACAGCUGAAGGCCUGCAUCUCUCAGGGUUCCCUAACUGUUCCCUGAUUCAGUCAUCUAGAGAGCAAACACACAGUCAUUCCCCAGUUUCCUACUGACAUCACAGCGGAAGUCUGACUCCCGCGCGUCACCUUCACCCAGUUUCUGAGGCAACGAAUCACUGGCACAGAAGCUUCUGGUGGCGGGUUUCCGGAGAGCCCUGCAAACUACGAUGUCCCUCACCAGAAUUCGAUGAGGCAGAGUCUCUGCAUCUGGUCCCUGCCUGGCCUGGGCUCCAACAUCCACAGAAGCACCACAGCUGGGGAGCUUGGGAGUCACCACACACAGUCUGCUCUCUGCUCUGUGCUCCUCAGUCCCACAUACUCCUCCAAGUCACGGGAGCUGGAUGCAAUGGAGCCCCGGCCUCCUGUAGCCUCACUCCAGGACAGAAUCGCUGUCCUCUGAGGAGGAGGAAACCUGAAGGUCCUCAUAGAGGACACUCAGUGGGACGGGAACACAGGGAGCCUCAGACUUCUCUGAGACAUGAGGGCUGUGAGCGAGGAAGGCUCCCGGCUUCUCAGAAGAGGGAAACGAGGGAGCUGUCAGUGAAGCCAAGACGGAUACCGUGUCAGACAUUUUGGUAGCUGAGCCAUCAGUGAGGGCAGGGUCCACGCGUGGCCUCUUAUUGGUUGUGUGGACCGGCAUUGGCCUGCUUGCAACCUGAAAGAAAGGAGAUCACACACGUUAGAAGUUCCUCGGCAUGGAGCCAACAUGGAAAUCAACCACAUCCAAAGACAAGGUGCACACAGCAGGAAAUUCUUAAUACGGUAUGGACAGGCGGUCCUUGGAAAUAGGGACAGAUCCUCAACGUGAGUGCUGAUCGGGACAAGACCCAUGAAAAAUGCACUCUCCAGCUAUGAUCUAAGAACACCAUUUUUCUAAAGACUGUAUCUUUGGCAUUCACUGGAUCAAAGCGCCUCCACUCAGCCUUCCAUGAAGUGGGACGGACUAAUGCCCUUCUGAAGGCAGGUUGGUGGCUCAAGGGUUCCCAGGACGUCUUUUCUGAAAACAUGCAUGUUCCUGGGGUGAGCCUCCUCCAUGUUUGGGGCCCCUGAGGGACUAAUUUCCUCACGCCACUAGGAAGAUGUUGUUGGCAGGCUUGCCAUCAUUGCACAGAAAGAAAGCAACAGGAAAUGCGGCAUCUUCAGAUGCCUUCACCUGGAAUCAAAUGGACCUGGAAGGAUCGUGGAGUCCCUGACCCCAAGAAGGCAGGGAAGAGGGGUUCCCCGAUCCCCUCACACACACGGGAACCUGAAAGGAAAUCAACCAGGGUGACCUAGAGGAGAAAAAGACCAGGGGCCCAGGGUGACACUCACCCUCAGAUAAUCACAAGAUUCCAUGGAUUCUUUUCGAUUUGGCAGCGGCUUCUCCGGAGGUUUCCCAGAAAAGGUCUUGGAAGAGAGCCUUCCUCUGCGGGUCUUGUUGCCUGCAGAAGAGAAAAAGUUCAGGCCAUGCACCCGGUUUUCCCCAGGAGACAGGGAGAACCCUGUCUGGGCCCAGUCCCGUUCUGUGUUUUGUGAUAAAUAAAUGGAACUCUUGUGCCCUUUCCACCUCUGCACCUUCCCUCAUGUGCCAACCUUCCCAUCCUCCCAGUGGCCUUCUAGGCUUCCCAAGUAAGGACCAGUAUUUGGAUUCCGUUGCUUUUCCCCCUGUCAUGGGGAACCUGCACGAAGCUUCCCCACCUGACAUCGUCCUCCCCCAGCUCGAUAUCAGGAACAAGUCUGUUAAUUAUUAUUAUUAUGAAAUACAAUAGAAAUUAAUAGUAAUCAUUGAUAAUAAUAAUCACAAUAAAGAUAGUAAAAAUUAAAACUGGU
ensembl:lncRNA